AGGCGCCGUGGGUUCUGUUCCAGUUUGGUCUUCUUUGUACUUGUGAUGUCACUUCCUGUCUGUGUCUGGUCCAAUCACUGUCAUUCCUCACACCUGUUACAGGUUGGUUGGUUUGAUCAGUUUCAUCACAUCUCUGUUACCCAGUCUGUGGCUCCGUGUCCCUCCAUGUUGCCUGUUGCCAUCUAACUUCUGGUUACUGGUUGGACAAAUGGGAAAUGCCAAGAGCUCCCUCCGGUGGAGCGUAUGUGUAACAGCAGGUCUUGUGAUAAGGAUGAUAACGGAGGGGGUCUGGGCCAUGGCUCCAAUCAUGCUGCACAAACAGAUGACACACAGGAAGGUGAGGAAGGCCUGCUGACAGCCCGGCGUGGGACACUUUCCUGGUAAAGCCACUGCGUCCUCGCUGCUGCUGGACACGCACGAGCAGCCGGUCAGGUUCUGGUGCAAAGACAAGGAGCGGAGCAGAGUUGGGUCACUGCCGCGCCUCCGCUCAGUGGCCAGCCUGCAAUGCGCUCUCCACCCACUCACUGGUGUGGUGCAGCCGGCGAAGCAGGCCGAGAGAGGAAGGACCACCCACUCCAGCAGAGUCUCAUCCCUGCAGCCACAGGAGUGACCCGGACAAUCACUGGAGACAACCCAUGUAUGUUGUUCGGGUUCCACACGCUGGACCUUCUGUUUGGUUUGGACCCUGCUGCCGGUCCUCCCUCCGCCUGCCCAGUCUGGACUCACACUGGUGAUUGCUGGGGACCGUCUGCAUCCUGACUGAGUCUCUCCCCUCACCUGGGCCUUUGUACUUAUACCCUACUUCAUAUCCUACUUCAAGACCCUGUGGUCAUUGAAUUCUUACUUGAAUCCUUUUUUUUUGUUUUGUCCUUUCCAUUCAGUGUGUUAACUGUGAUCUGUGGUGGCUCAGUUAGUAGAGCGUUGUCUUAGGGAGUGGAAGGUGCCUGGUCCCUGAGUGGAAGGUCCACCAGAGCACUUGAGUAAGACACUGCACACGGGCGCCGCACUGUGGCUGCCCACUGCUCCCCUCAGUGGACGGGUAAAAAUAAAAGAGAGUAAAAAGAGUCAUUGUGGAAUCAAUAAAGUUCUAUUAUUAUUAUUAUUUUUUAUUA